AUCGGUCCGUCCUGCUUCCAGCUGCUGCAGCGCGCCUUCGCCGCCAAAGCAUCCAGCAGCCCCUGCUCCGGCCCAGCAUGGCGACCCCGACCCAGACCCCCACAAAGGCUCCUGAGGAACCUGACCCAUUUUACUAUGGUGAGUAUUGGAUUUGGGGAUAGGGCUGGACUGGGGAGUAGCUGCAGGUGCUCACAGAUCCCUCCAGACAUGGCUUCAGCUAUGGUCACACGAUACGUGCUGGGCCACUGGCCAUGGGACCAUAUAUAUGGGUGUGGCUCACAUCAGCUGGGUUCAUGGAGGGCAGAACCAGAUGGGGGAGUGGGGAUGCCUCACACUCUCUCUGAGCCCCCUUCAGGUCUCACCAGGAUCUGGGCUGGUGCCUUGGUGUCGUCAGAGAAGCAGAUGAAGGAAAACCUUAGAAGCAAUGACUCUGAGCCCAGACUGCCUGGAUUUGAAUCCUGCCUUAUCCACUCACUAGCUGUAUGGCCUUGGGCAAGCGACUUUGCCUCUCUGGGCCCUUCUGUAAACAAGGGAUAGUAAUAGUUCCCACCUACGAGGACUGUGGGAAAGAUACCUGGCUGGUGCCAUUAAAUCUCCUCCAUGGCACUGAAGCUCAAAUAAGUUACCCCAGGCCUGGUAGAUCUGGCUCCAAUUUCCCCCUCUGAACACCCUCCUGUUGCCCCCACCCCACCCCUUUGCUCAUUCAUACUUUUCCCCUAGGUGUCAAUUCCUCUCCCAUCUCAGGACCUUUGCAUGUGCCAUGAUUCUGCAGGAAUGCUUCUCCUCUAGCUUUGUACAUGGCUGGCUAAGGCUCCCCCUUAUUCAGGCCUCAGAUCAAACAUAGACUACUCUGCUAGGAUAGGCCCUCCUGACUCCCUGGCAAAGAAGAGCCACACCAUACCCAGCUGGGGUUGCAUGACUUGUUUUUGGGCGGGGUUGUUUCUUUAAUGCUUUAUCACAAUACGAGAGUCAACUCCUUGAGGGUAGAAGCCUGGACCACUACUGGUACAGAGUGAGUGCUCCAUAAAUUCAUAUCUCAAAAAAUACUUAGCGGGCACAGGCUCUAUGUCUGGCAAUGCUCCAAGCAGCUGGAGACACUGCAGUGAACCACACAGAC
rnacentral:sRNA from 1 species